rnacentral:rRNA from 1 species
GACCAGACUCCUACGGGAGGCAGCAGUGGGGAAUAUUGCACAAUGGGGGAAACCCUGAUGCAGCGACGCCGCGUGAGUGAAGAAGUAUUUCGGUAUGUAAAGCUCUAUCAGCAGGGAAGAAGUUGACGGUACCUGAGUAAGAAGCCCCGGCUAACUACGUGCCAGCAGCCGCGGUAAUACGUAGGGGGCAAGCGUUAUCCGGAUUUACUGGGUGUAAAGGGAGCGUAGACGGCAGUGCAAGUCUGAAGUGAAAGCCCCGGGCUUAACCCGGGAACUGCUUUGGAAACUGUACGGCUGGAGUGCUGGAGAGGUAAGCGGAAUUCCUAGUGUAGCGGUGAAAUGCGUAGAUAUUAGGAGGAACACCAGUGGCGAAGGCGGCUUACUGGACAGUAACUGACGUUGAGGCUCGAAAGCGUGGGGAGCAAACAGGAUUAGAUACCCUAGUA